CGUGUAGGCGGGCCUUCAAGUCGGAUGUGAAAACCGGUGGCUUAACCACCGGCCUGCAUUCGAUACUGUUGGUCUUGAGUACGAGAGAGGAAAGCGGGAUUCCAGGUGUAGCGGUGAAAUGCGUAGAUAUCUGGAAGAACACCAGUAGCGAAGGCGGCUUUCUGGCUCGAUACUGACGCUGAAGCGCGAAGGCUAGGGGAGCAAACA
rnacentral:rRNA from 1 species